rnacentral:rRNA from 1 species
UACGUAGGGUGCAAGCGUUAAUCGGAAUUACUGGGCGUAAAGCGUGCGCAGGCGGUUCUGUAAGAUAGAUGUGAAAUCCCCGGGCUCAACCUGGGAAUUGCAUAUAUGACUGCAGGACUUGAGUUUGUCAGAGGAGGGUGGAAUUCCACGUGUAGCAGUGAAAUGCGUAGAUAUGUGGAAGAACACUGAUGGCGAAGGCAGCCCUCUGGGACAUGACUGACGCUCAUGCACGAAAGCGUGGGGAGCAAACAGG